UCAAGGCUUUCUGGGAAAUGAUAUAUAAUGAACUGAAAAAGGUAUUUAAAUAUACCUUUCUGAAGAAACCAGAGGCCUUUCUUCUGGGCAUUGUCGGCCAAUUGGUGCCAAAGAAGGACAGAACCUUUUUAUGUAUGCUACAACAGCAGCAAGAAUACUCAUCGCAAAGUAUUGGAAGACACAAGAUCUACCCACUUUGGAAGAAUGGCAGAUGAAGGUGAUUGACUACAUGGAAUUGGCGGAAAUGACUGGCAGAAUCUGAGACCAGGGAGAAGAGUCGGUGAAAGAAGACUGGAAGAAAUUUAAAGACUAUUUACAGAAAUAUUGCAAAAUUAAGGAAUCUUAGAAGGAUGUUGGAUAGAAACUAAGAGGUUUUUAGCUGUAAUGCUUUAAGAGAUAUGAAAAAAGGUUAACAACUGGGUAAAAGUUUAAUGGUAAGGAUUUGCUGAACUAACAAACUGAAGUGGAAUACAAAAAAGGGAGGUAUGAGGAGGUCCGGGGAAAUAAGUGUAGGGAAGAUAGGUUUGGAAAAUCAAUGUCUUUUUAACUGUUUUAUUUUGUAUGUUUCCUUUUUAUUCUUUAUUUUUUUGUUAUAUUUUAAAAACGUUAUUCUUUUUUUUGUACUCUGUAUUUUUUUUGUAUUUCUUGAAACUUUAAUAAAUAUC
rnacentral:lncRNA from 1 species